rnacentral:rRNA from 1 species
CCUACGGGAGGCAGCAGUGGGGAAUAUUGGACAAUGGGCGAAAGCCUGAUCCAGCCAUGCCGCGUGUGUGAAGAAGGCCUUCGGGUUGUAAAGCACUUUCAGUGGGGAAGAAAGCCUUGGGGCUAAUACCCUCGAGGAAGGACAUCACCAACAGAAGAAGCACCGGCUAACUCCGUGCCAGCAGCCGCGGUAAUACGGAGGGUGCGAGCGUUAAUCGGAAUUACUGGGCGUAAAGCGCGCGUAGGCGGUCUGAUAAGCCGGUUGUGAAAGCCCCGGGCUCAACCUGGGAACGGCAUCCGGAACUGUCAGGCUAGAGUGCAGGAGAGGAAGGUAGAAUUCCCGGUGUAGCGGUGAAAUGCGUAGAGAUCGGGAGGAAUACCAGUGGCGAAGGCGGCCUUCUGGACUGACACUGACGCUGAGGUGCGAAAGCGUGGGUAGCAAACAGGAUUAGAUACCCUGGUAGUC